UACGAAGGGGGGCUAGCGUUGCUCGGAAUUACUGGGCGUAAAGGGCGCGUAGGCGGAUGUUUAAGUCAGCGGUGAAAGCCCAGGGCUCAACCUUGGAACUGCCAUUGAUACUGGACAUCUUGAGUACGGGAGAGGUGAGUGGAACACCGAGUGUAGAGGUGAAAUUCGUAGAUAUUCGGUAGAACACCAGUGGCGAAGGCGACUCACUGGCCCGUUACUGACGCUGAGGCGCGAAAGCGUGGGGAGCAAACAGG
rnacentral:rRNA from 1 species